AUUGUCAGGCAAUCUCGAUAUGCAGUUUUAAGAUAUGAAAGUGAAUUUUACUGUGCACAUGUUGAUUGAUCGUUUGUUGGAUCUUAUGUUGAACAUUCAUCGAGCUUUAUUUACGAUUGAUGAGGACGAGUGGAUCCAGAUACUGCGGAAGAUGGAGAAAUCAUGUUAGAGUCAUUGACAGUGAUUGAAGUAUCCUAUGUACCAAAUGUCUAUCAUUGGAUCCAGAUGAAGGGGUUGAGAGGGUCACUCAUCUCGUAGAUGCUCUAGUAGUAUCUGUUAUUCCUGAUAUGUAUGCUCAGGAGACGUCCACUGAUAUAGAAGAGGGGCCAUCAUAGAUGACACAGGAGCAGGAGGGAUCGUUGAGGACUUUUUUGAGAAAGUCCAAGUGGUCAUGAGCAUCACGACAUUUUUGUGGAACUUAGUAUUUUUUGGAUUUGUAGU